UCCGCAGGACCGCUGACCCCGCCCGGUGGAUGCCUGGGCUCGGGAGCCGAAGAAGGGCGUGGCAAGCUGCGAUAAGCCAGGGGGAGGCGCACGCAGCCGUUGAUCCCUGGAUCCCCGAAUGGGACCUCCUGCCCGGGGGUUAACCCCGGGCGCCCCGAUAAGGGGCGGGAACGCGGGGAAGUGAAACAUCUCAGUACCCGCAGGAAAAGAAAGAGAAAUUCGAUGGCGGGAGUAGGGGCGACCGAAACCGCCGUAGCCCAAACUGAAUCCCGUAGGGAAACCUACGGGAGAUGUGGGGUUGUUGGGGGUGGCGGCUUUCCCUCCCGCGGGAACCCGAACUCCGGUGGAAGUCCGGGGCCGUAGAGGGUGACAGCCCCGUAGGGGUAACCGCGGAGGGAGUGCCGCCACUUCCAGAGUACCGCGCCUCGGAUAUGGCGCGGGAAGCUGGGGGACACACGCCCCCAAGGCUAAAUACUCCCCGAGUCCGAUAGCGGACUAGUAGGGUGACCGAAAGGUGAAAGAGAACCCGUGGAAGGGAGUGAAAAAGAGCCUGAAACCGGGCGGGGAUAGUCAGGUGGGGCCGGUUAAGCCCCCGGGCAAGGAACCCCCGGCGACGGGGUAGUACUUGCCCGGGGGCUAGCCGGUUCCACCGUACGUUCGGGAGCACGUGCGGGGGAGUGUGCCCGAGUGGCGAGGUUAAGGGGAUAAACCCCGAAGCCGUAGGGAAACCGAAGGCCCGCAGCCCUUAUGGGCGAGGGGCCGCGUCCUAUACGGGCGUAAGUCACUCGGGCACGACCAGAAGCCCGGCGAUCUACCCCGGGGCAGGGUGAAGCGGGGUUUUUCCCCGUGGAGGCCCGAAGGGGUGGUGGCCUAUCCCCUCCUCUGACCCCGGGGUAGGGGCGAUAUACCAAUCGAGCCGGGUGAUAGCUGGUUCCCGCCGAAAUGGGCUGCAGUCCAGCCUCGGCGGAGGCACCCUCGGGUGUAGAGCGACGGAUUCCCGUGGCAAGGGGGUUAACCCCACCACGGGAGUCCAACUCCGAAGCCCGAGGGGCCGUAGAUGCCGGGAGACGGGGGCGGCGGAUAAGCCGCCGUUCCGAGACGGGAACAACCGAGACCGGGGUUAAGGCCCCUAAGUGCCGGCUAAGUGGCUGGAAGGGUGUCCGCUCCCUAAGACACCGGGGAUGUGGGACUAGUAGUGUCCAUCAUCUAAGGAGUGUGCAACAACUCACCCGGCGAGGGAGCGGGCCCCGCAGAUGGACGGGCCUAAGCCGGCCGCCGAGACCCCGGGCCGGGGAUCCGAUGGAUCCCCGUGCGGUAGGCGGGCGUCCCGGUGGCCUAGAAGGCGGGCCGUGAGGUCCGCUGGAGCCGCCGGGAAUGAGAAUCCCCGCGUGAGUAGGAGCAAAGAGGGGUGAGAAGCCCCUCCGCCGAAAGGGAAAAGGGUUCCCUGGCAAUGACCAUCAGCCAGGGGUGAGUCGGUCCUAAGGCCGGCGGUAACUCCGCUCGGCCGAAAGGGAAAGGGGUUAAUAUUCCCCUACCGCCCGGGUAGGCGCGGCAACGCCAAGCCCUACUCCCGACGCCUGGGGCUAGGCCGACCGCGGAUUUCCCGCGGCCAACCGGGAUAGGGCCGGGGAGUGCCAUUAUGGCGAGAACCGGCCUAAACCCGGGACGGGGCCCCCGUAUGGGGGCUUCGGCCGAGGCCCUGGGCCCAUGAAAAGGGAGUAGGGAACGAUCCCGGGCGACCGUACCGAGAACCGUGACAGGUUCCCUGGGUGAGCAGCCUAAGGCGGUGGGGUAUAACCUGGCCGAGGGAAAUCGGCAAAUUGGCCCCGUAUCUUCGGUAGAAGGGGUGCCUGCGGUCGUGGGGUAAUCCUGCGACCGCAGGUCGCAGUGACAAGGGCGGGCCGACUGUUUACUAAAAACAUAGCCUCCGGCAAGCCCGAAAGGGUGUGUACCGGAGGUGACGCCUGCCCAGUGCCGGUACCUGAACCCCCCGUCCAAGGGGGCUAAGGGCCGGUAAACGGCGGGAGUAACUGUAACUCUCUUAAGGUAGCGUAGUCCCUUGCCGGUUAAAUGCCGGCUCUGCGAACGGCGUAACGAGCUCGCCACUGUCCUCGGCCAGGGCCCCCUGAAAACGCCGUUCCCGUGGAUAGGCGGGAGAGGCCCGGUGGGAAGAGAAGACCCCGUGAAGCUUAACCGCAGCCUGUCGUUGCCCCGUUGUCCCCCACGCUCAGCGUAGCGGGGAGCGAUGAACCGGCCCCUCCGGGGGUCGGGGAUGCGCCCAUGAGACACCCGCCGUGGGGGACAACGGGGCUAACCCCGAAAGGGGGACAGCGGCAGGUGGGCGGUUUGGCUGGGGCGGCACACCGCCGAAAAGAUAUCGGCGGUGCCCAAAGGUCGGCUCAGGCGGGUCAGAAAUCCGCCGUAGAGUGCAAGGGCAAAAGCCGGCCUGACACGGCCCUUUACAAGGGGCCGUGGCGGGAAACCGCGGCCUAGCGAACCCCGGUAGCCCCCGUGUGGGGCUUCGGGACGACGGAAAAGCUACUCCGGGGGUAACAGCUUGGUCGCGGGCGAAAGUUCCCAUCGACCCCGCGGUUUGAGACCUCGAUGUCGGCUCUUCUCACCCUGGCCGUGCAGCAGCGGCCAAGGGUGGGGGUGUUCACCCAUUAAAGAGGAACGUGAGCUGGGUUUAGUACGCCGCGAGGCAGUGUGGAUUCUAUCUACCGGGCCUGUUCGGCGGCUGAGGGGAAGGACGGCCUAGUACGAAAGGAACGGCCGUCCGGCGCCUCUAGUCGACGGGGUGUCCGUAUGGGCAGCCCCGGCAGCCACGCGCUAGGGGGUAAGGGCUGAAUGCAUCUAAGCCCGAACCCCUCCCCGAAAAGAGCCGCCGAUCCCCCUCGGGUAGAAGACCCGGUUGAUGGGGGGGCGGUGGAAGCCCCGAGGGUUUCCGAGGGGCGAGCCGGCCCCUCCCAAUCGGGGGGUGGUCCUGCGGA
rnacentral:rRNA from 19 species